rnacentral:tRNA from 1 species
AGCCUUAUAGUCAAAAAUGAUUUUAAAUUGCAAAUUUAAAGGUAAGGUAAAUCUUUAAGGCUU